GGGGUGUGUUCCAGAAAGCGAGUUAUGUGACAUACCCAGGUAAUAUUUGAUGCAACCCAUCUCAUCACUAAUGUUGAACCCAAAUCAUCAGGGUCAGUGCAUGAUUCCAGAAUCUUCAGGGAAUCAUCACUAUGUCACAUGUUUCAACAGGGAUGCUACAAUGGCUUCUUGCUGGGGGACAAAGGGUGCCCUGUUUGAUGACACCCUUCUUCUGAGCCUGGACCACAGACAUUGUUCAACCGGGCCCACAGCAGAACACGGACCAAGGUGGAGAUGACCACAGGCAUCCUGAAGGCGAUGUUCCAGUGUCUACGUGGCCUCAGGGUCAGUCCAGAGAGGGCAUGUGACAUUAUAGUGGAUUGUGUUGUCCUUGCAAUAUUGCCACAAUAAGGGGAGUGAGCCACCCUCCUUGUCCUGCUGAAGAUGACCAAGAGGAUCCAGUAGUGAACAAAGUAGACCACAGAGAAGACUCUUAAGACACAUGAUUUGUCAGAAUCACUUUUAUUAAGGUUUUUGAACCAAAGCGCUUAUCAUUUCUUCAUGUCCUGAAAAAUAAAAUGGAAUAUUAUUUACAUUGCUUCACACAAUGUCUCAGACUGUGUGCUUUCUGGAGGGUCCAAUAAUACAAUCUGUCCAUCAGUAAACGCAAGACAAUGCAACCCAUAAGAUCAAAGUGAAAUAAAGUCAAUGUACUACAACAUUGUAGAAGCCUGUGCAAGAUAUAGAUCCUGUAAUUGUGUGAUCACAUCUUACCUUUUUUUGUAGGAUAAUAUUACUAUUAUCUAAUAUUAUUCAAGUAAUAGUACAAAACAAUGUGGAAGUUAUGUUCAAUCUUCCUUUACAACAAAAGAGGCAAUGGCAACAUAACUGUAAUUAAAUAAACUCAAUUUACUUUAUUUUCUUUUUCUUUCCUUUGCCGAUGCAGCUGUGUUGCUUUUUCUAUUAAUAAUCGGCUUAAAUUCUUCAUUCUCUGCAUCAAAAUCUCC